rnacentral:tRNA from 1 species
GCCCUGGUGGCGGAAUUGGUAGACGCACUAGUUUCAGGUACUAGCGGGUAACUCCGUGCUGGUUCGAGUCCAGUCCUGGGCACCA